rnacentral:rRNA from 1 species
UACGGGGGGAGCAAGCGUUGUUCGGAUUUACUGGGCGUAAAGGGCGCGUAGGCGGCGCCGCAAGUCGACUGUGAAAUCUCCGGGCUUAACCCGGAAAGGUCAGCCGAUACUGCGGGGCUAGAGUGCAGAAGGGGCAACUGGAAUUCUCGGUGUAGCGGUGAAAUGCGUAGAUAUCUGGAGGAACACCGGUGGCGAAGGCGGCAUCCUGGACCGAUAUUGGACGCUGAGGCGCGAAAGCCAGGGGAGCAAACGGG